UACGUAGGGGGCAAGCGUUAUCCGGAUUCACUGGGUGUAAAGGGAGCGUAGACGGCGACGCAAGUCUGGAGUGAAAGCCCGGGGCUCAACCCCGGGACUGCUCUGGAAACUGCGGCGCUGGAGUACGGGAGGGGCAGGCGGAAUUCCUGGUGUAGCGGUGAAAUGCGUAGAUAUCAGGAGGAACACCGGCGGCGAAGGCGGCCUGCUGGACCGUGACUGACGUUGAGGCUCGAGAGCGUGGGGAGCAAACAGG
rnacentral:rRNA from 1 species